rnacentral:rRNA from 1 species
GGCGGACGGGUGAGUAACACGUGGGCAACCUGCCCUUGAGACGGGGAUAACUCCGGGAAACCGGAGCUAAUACCGGAUAACACAUAUCUUCGCAUGAGGAUAUGUUAGAAGGUGGCUUUUAGCUACCACUCAAGGAUGGGCCCGCGGCGCAUUAGCUAGUUGGUGAGGUAACGGCUCACCAAGGCGACGAUGCGUAGCCGACCUGAGAGGGUGAUCGGCCACACUGGGACUGAGACACGGCCCAGACUCCUACGGGAGGCAGCAGUAGGGAAUCUUCCGCAAUGGACGAAAGUCUGACGGAGCAACGCCGCGUGAGUGAUGAAGGUUUUCGGAUCGUAAAGCUCUGUUGUUAGGGAAGAACAAGUACCUGUUAAAUAAGCAGGUACCUUGACGGUACCUAACCAGAAAGCCACGGCUAACUACGUGCCAGCAGCCGCGGUAAUACGUAGGUGGCAAGCGUUGUCCGGAAUUAUUGGGCGUAAAGCGCGCGCAGGCGGUUCCUUAAGUCUGAUGUGAAAGCCCACGGCUCAACCGUGGAGGGUCAUUGGAAACUGGGGAACUUGAGUGCAGAAGAGGAGAGCGGAAUUCCACGUGUAGCGGUGAAAUGCGUAGAGAUGUGGAGGAACACCAGUGGGCGAAGGCGGCUCUCUGGUCUGUAACUGACGCUGAGGCGCGAAAGCGUGGGGGAGCGAACAGGAUUAGAUACCCCUGGUAGUCCACGCCGUAAACGAUGAGUGCUAAGUGUUUAGAAGGGUUUCCGCCCCUUUAGUGCUGCAGCCAAACGCAUUUAAGCACUCCGCCCUGGGGGAGUACGGGUCGCCAGGACUGAAAACUCCAAGGGAAUUUGACGGGGGACCCGCCCCAAGCCGGUGGAACCAUGUUGG